rnacentral:sRNA from 1 species
UGGUUUUGUUUCCGAACUCAAUGGUGGAUUUUUCAGGAGUGCUGGCAUCAAUAUGAAUGAAAAUCCCACGUUUACCUCGUGGUUCGACCAAUAUCAACCAGGUUCUUUCUUCCAUCAUGUGAUGACAGUUAGUGAUUGCACAGUGCCUCGGGAGUGCUGACCAACUCAGGGGUAGCAUGUGUUAGGUCACUGGGGCAAAAGAGCUCUCUCACACCAGCGCCAUGCUGGUAGUAGAGGGGACGAACCAAUCCAAACCCCCCAACAGCAUGAUGGUGGAAAGGGGAUGAGAUCCGCUCCCUUUUCUCUUCUUCCCCCCGCAUGCCUUGCCAAUGACAAUGAGUAUAUAUGAUGAGAUCGCCGAACCACCCAGAUGUCCUUAAUCUUCCAAAGCACGGGAUGGAGCCUGCCUGGGUUUUCUUACCGCUACCGGACUAUUACAUUUACUCAAAGGAAGCAGGAGACCGAUAUCACUGGAGAAACAAUCGCGGAA